rnacentral:misc_RNA from 1 species
GAAAUGCGAUAAGUAAUGUGAAUUGCAGAAUUCAGUGAAUCAUCGAAUCUUUGAACGCACCUUGCGCUCCUUGGUAUUCCUUGGAGCAUGCCUGUUUGAGUAUCAUGAAAUCUUCAAAGUAAAUCUUUUGUUAACUUAAUUGGUUUCUACUUUGGUAUUGGAGGUCUUUGUAGCUUCACACCUGCUCCUCUUUGUUCAUUAGCUGGAUCUCAGUGUUAUGCUUGGUUCCACUCGGCGUGAUAAGUUAUCUAUCGCUGAGGACACUGUAAAAGGUGGCCAAGGUAAAUGCAGAUGAACCGCUUCUAAUAGUCCAUUGACUUGGACAAUACUUUUAUGAUCUGAUCUCAAAUCAGGUAGGACUACCCGCUGAACUUAAGC